GGAUAACAGCUAAAAUGUGCUCAAGAGAAAUAUCAUUUUGUGGGCUUUUGUACAUAUAAAAAUGUUGUUGUUUUUUUAUUUGUUCAAAAAAUACAGAAAACCAGAAGUACUUGUUCAGGUAAGACCUGAGUAUCUCUGACUAAACACUAAAGCAAUUCAAUUUGAUUCCAUUUAGAUUUUUCUUUAAGAUAUUUAAUUAAUUUAAAUUGGAUUUUUUUGUUAUGUAGGAUCCUCCUUAUAUUGUUUUUUCCACGAAAAGUGUUUAAAAUCAACUAAAAAUCAAUUAAACUGAUGCUAAAAAGUCAACUAGACUUUUUUUACUUAAUAAAAUCGGAUAAGUGAGUUUCUAGUUCAAUUAACUAGCUCUCCUACGGUUUGACAACGCCGGUGUUAGCAAGUACACGUUUUCUGAUGUAAAGUAGUAUUUCUUGACGGGAAAAAAUAUUAUUAAGCUUUACAUGUUUUAAAAGGAAUACUCGUUUAUGUGAGAUUAAAAAAA